GAGCGAACAGNAUUAGAUACCCUGGUAGUCCAUGCCGUAAACGUUGGGCACUAGGUGUGGGGGACAUUCCACGUUUUCCGCGCCGUAGCUAACGCAUUAAGUGCCCCGCCUGGGGAGUACGGCCGCAAGGCUAAAACUCAAAGGAAUUGACGGGGGCCCGCACAAGCGGCGGAGCAUGCGGAUUAAUUCGAUGCAACGCGAAGAACCUUACCCAAGGCUUGACAUGGGCCGGACCGGGCUGGAAACAGUCCUUCCCCUUUGGGGCCGGUUCACAGGUGGUGCAUGGUUGUCGUCAGCUCGUGUCGUGAGAUGUUGGGUUAAGUCCCGCAACGAGCGCAACCCUCGUUCCAUGUUGCCAGCGCGUAAUGGCGGGGACUCAUGGGAGACUGCCGGGGUCAACUCGGAGGAAGGUGGGGACGACGUCAAAUCAUCAUGCCCCUUAUGUCUUGGGCUUCACGCAUGCUACAAUGGCCGGUACAAAGGGUUGCGAUACUGUGAGGUGGAGCUAAUCCCAAAAAGCCGGUCUCAGUUCGGAUUGGGGUCUGCAACUCGACCCCAUGAAG
rnacentral:rRNA from 1 species